UACGAAGGGGGCGAGCGUUGUUCGGAUUUACUGGGCGUAAAGGGUGUGUAGGCGGUUGUUUAAGUUUGGUGUGAAAUCUCCCGGCUCAACUGGGAGGGUGCGCCGAAUACUGAAUGACUUGGAGUGCGGGAGAGGAAAGUGGAAUUCCUGGUGUAGCGGUGAAAUGCGUAGAUAUCAGGAGGAACACCGGUGGUGUAGACGGCUUUCUGGACCGUAACUGACGCUGAGACACGAAAGCGUGGGUAGCAAACAGG
rnacentral:rRNA from 1 species